rnacentral:rRNA from 1 species
UACGUAGGUGGCAAGCGUUGUCCGGAUUUAUUGGGCGUAAAGCGAGCGCAGGCGGUUCUUUAAGUCUGAUGUGAAAGCCCCCGGCUCAACCGGGGAGGGUCAUUGGAAACUGGAGAACUUGAGUGCAGAAGAGGAGAGUGGAAUUCCACGUGUAGCGGUGAAAUGCGUAGAUAUGUGGAGGAACACCAGUGGCGAAGGCGACUCUCUGGUCUGUAACUGACGCUGAGGCUAGAAAGCGUGGGGAGCAAACAGG